rnacentral:rRNA from 1 species
CCUACGGGAGGCAGCAGUGGGGAAUUUUGGACAAUGGGCGCAAGCCUGAUCCAGCAAUGCCGCGUGCAGGAUGAAGGCCUUCGGGUUGUAAACUGCUUUUGUACGGAACGAAACGGUCCGUUUUAAUACAGUGGGCUAAUGACGGUACCGUAAGAAUAAGCACCGGCUAACUACGUGCCAGCAGCCGCGGUAAUACGUAGGGUGCGAGCGUUAAUCGGAAUUACUGGGCGUAAAGCGUGCGCAGGCGGUUAUAUAAGACAGAUGUGAAAUCCCCGGGCUCAACCUGGGACCUGCAUUUGUGACUGUAUAGCUAGAGUACGGUAGAGGGGGAUGGAAUUCCGCGUGUAGCAGUGAAAUGCGUAGAUAUGCGGAGGAACACCGAUGGCGAAGGCAAUCCCCUGGACCUGUACUGACGCUCAUGCACGAAAGCGUGGGGAGCAAACAGGAUUAGAUACCCUGGUAG